CACAGAGGGUUUGGAUUAUGGCUCAGAUUGAACGCUGGCGGGAUGUUUACACAUGCAAGUCGAACGGCACACUUGACUUCGGUCUGGUGGCGAGUGGCGAACGGGUGAGUAAUGUAUCGGAACGUGUCAGCAGUAGCGUAGAUAACCAUUGCGAGCGAAGCAUUACCGCAUACUGGCUCUUCGGGGGAAAGUGGGGACCUUCUGGCCUCGCACUAUUAGAGCGGCCGAUAUCGGAUUAGCUAGUUGGUGGGUAACGCUCACCAAGGCGAUGAUCCGUAGCCAGUUUCGUGAUAUGACGACCAGCCACACUGGACUGAGACACGGCCCAGACUCCUACGGGAGGCAGCAGUGGGAAUUUUGGACAAUGGGGGAACCUGAUCCAGCCAUCCCGCGUGGGUGCGAUGAAGGCCUUCUUCGGGUUGUAAAGCACUUUUGGCAGGAAAGAAACGGCACGGGAUAAUACUCCGCACCGACGGCACCUGCAGAAAUAAGCAACUGUUGGAAUCACGCCAGCAGCCGUAAUACGUAGGGUGCAAGCGUUAAUCGGAAUUACUGGGCGCAAUGCGCGCAAUGGUUCAAAAAAGAAAGAUGUGGAGUCCAAUUGUCUUUAAACUGCAUUGAACUGCCUGAGCUUGAGUGCGUCAGGAAAGGAACGAAGUGCGGCAGUGGAAUGCCGAUGUGCAGAACCAUCUCGAUAUGCAGUUCCUAGAUGUCACUGACGCUCAUGCACGAAAGCGUGGGGAGCAAACAGGAUUAGAUACCCUGGUAGUCCACGCCUCUAAACGAUGUCAACUAGCUGUUGGGGCCUUUGGGUCGGCAGCGCAGCUAAUUGCGUGAAGUUGACCGCCUGGGAGUACGGUCGCAAGAUUAAAACCCGCGCGAAUUGACGGGGACCCGCACAAGCGGUGGAUGAUGCGGGAUUAACGAUGCAACCGCGAAAAACCUUUACUCACCCUUGACAUGUCUGAAUCCCGGUGACGGGGAGUGCCUGCAAGAGAACCGAACACAGGUGCUGCAUGGCUGUCAGCUCGUGUCGUGAGAUGCUGGGUUAAGUCCCGCAACGAGCGCAACCCUUGCUGCUUUAGUUGCUACGAAAGGGCACUCUAAUGAGACUGCCGGUGACAAACGGAGGAAGGCAGACAUCGUCAAGUCCUCAGCGGCCCUUAUGGGUAGGUCACACGUCAUACAAUGGUCGGGACGAGGGUCACGCCAACCGCGAGGGGGAGCCAAUCCCAGAAACCCGAUCGUAGUCCGAUCGCAGCCUGGCAAACUUCACUGCGUGUCGGAAUCGCCAGUAAUCGCGGAUCAGCAUGUCGCGGUGAAUACGUUCCCGGGCUCCGGUAUUACACCACCCGUCACACCAUGGGAGGCUUUACCAGAAGUGGUUAGCUCAACCGUAAGGAGGGCGGAUACCACGGUAGGAUUCUCGAUGACUGUGCAGUUCGUAACAAGGUAG
rnacentral:rRNA from 1 species